CCUACGGGUGGCAGCAGUGAGGAAUAUUGGACAAUGGACGCGAGCCUGAACCAGCCAAGUCGCGUGAAGGAUGACUGCCCUACGGGUUGUAAACUUCUUUUGUAAAGGAAUAAAAUGAGGCACGUGUGCCUUUUUGUUUGUACUUUAUUAAUAAAGAUCGGCUAACUCCGUACCAGCCGCCGCGGUAAUACGGAGGGUCCGAGCGUUAUCCGGAUUUAUUGUGUUUAAAGUGAGAGCAGACGGGUUGUUAAGUUAGAUGUGAAAGGCUGCGGAUCAACCGUAGAAUUGCACUUGAUACUGGCAGCCUUGAGUACAGAUGAGGUAGGCGGAAUUCGUGGUGUAGCGGUGAAAUGCUUAGAGAUCACGAAGAACGCCGAUUGCGAAGGCAGCUGACUAAACUGCCACUGACGUUGAUGCUCGAAAGUGUGGGUAUCGAACAGGAUUAGAUACCCUGGUAGUC
rnacentral:rRNA from 1 species